CAGCAGUCGCCACGGUAAUACGAAGGGUGCAAGCGUUAAUCGGAAUUACUGGGCGUAAAGCGUGCGUAGGCGGUGAGUUAAGUCUGCUGUGAAAUCCCCGGGCUCAACCUGGGAAUGGCAGUGGAUACUGGCUCGCUAGAGUGUGUCAGAGGAUGGUGGAAUUCCCGGUGUAGCGGUGAAAUGCGUAGAGAUCGGGAGGAACAUCAGUGGCGAAGGCGGCCAUCUGGGACAACACUGACGCUGAGGCACGAAAGCGUGGGGAGCAAACAGGAUUAGAUACCCGAGUAGUCCCUGUCUCUUAUAC
rnacentral:rRNA from 1 species